rnacentral:tRNA from 1 species
GAGAUAUUAGUUAAACUAUAACACUGCCUUGUCAAGACAAAAUCAUGAGUUAAAUUCUCAUAUAUCUUA